CCAAAGGAGCAUUCUAUAACAGAAAAAUAGCUACAGUAUUGAGGAACAGUUAACUAAUGGUUUAAGAAUGCGUUGUACUGUGUUAUGUAUUUGAAAAAUGUGUCAGGCCUAAUUUCAAACCGCAAUGCUCGACUCAGUAUUUGAUUCGUGAAGCAAAGUGUUGAGUGUUUCGAAACAAGAAUGUUACGUGAGCUUCAUUGCGUCACCGAGGAAGGUUUCUUCAUCUAGAUUGCAUUCGACAGCCUUCAGUCACGCAAAACAUUUGGCGUCUUGCAGAUCUAUAACAAACAGUGAGGUAUCAUUAUGCCAACCGGGUACGGAACUAUUCCAGGGAGUUGUGAUCCCCACAAAUGUCCCCCAAACAGGGUGAAAGAUGUCUGUGUUGGGUUUCUCCGGUUACUUUGUAUAUUGUUCGCGCUCUUGACGUGGACGGCCGGCAUAUUGCUCCUGAUCUACGCUGAAGAUGCAAAAAUGUGUUUUUCACACAGACUGACUGCCACACGUACCCGAUUAUUGGAUUCGCUAGACAAAACUGCCUAACGCCUGGAAACCCGUGAUCUCCUGGGAGCAACAUUGAACCAUGCAGUCAACUUUGGAAUAUUCUUACUGAUGCAUUAUUUAAACUUCUGUUUAAGCACUUUUUAAAACAUUUUAUCUUUUAUAAUUGGUUUUUAACUGUAUUAUUAAACUUUAAAAAUUUGGUGUAACACGUACAAUGUACCCUAAAUAGCUAAAAUAAAUAAAGGCUUUAAAA